ACAAACUGGGCAUUCAGCUCCGUCUGGAAAUCACACACAUGGCAGCUGGACAGAGAACAGAGAGGAGAGGGAAGGAAGAUGGCGAGAAUAACAGGGGGGGAGACCGUCAGCUUCAGUGUUAUAUUAUGUCUGCAUAAAUUGGGCCGGAGUCGCAGUGAGGCGGAGCGCAUGUGAGGAGAGACGGGAGAAGUUUGUGACUCACCACUGUAAUGAAGGUGCAGGAGGGCACAUGUGCGAUGAUAAAUACA